rnacentral:lncRNA from 1 species
ACGCGAUGCGUUCUCUUCUCUAGGCCAGAAAUAAAUGGAAAUAUACUGCGGAAAGGACUGGUUUGUUAUUGACAGCAGCAAUCAAUGUUACUUGUGGUAGAGCCGAAGGGGAAACUGGAAUGGGCACGUGACUGAAACUGGAACCUUAUAUGACUGUUAAAGAUACAUUUCCUCAUCUUUGUAACAAUAUCAACAAAGCAGAGCAAUACAUGUGUAAAUGUAAACAAUGCCGCUGAGAUGGAAAAUACAUACGUUACAAAAAGUUUUUAAGGUGAAAAGGAUGAAUAAGUGGAUUUGAUUAUGAUUAUUCUUUUAUAUUAUUUUUCUGUUUUCGUCGUUGGGAAAACAAAUCCAUGUCAUUGUGCUCCUAUUAAAACCGAUCAAAGUAUGAAUAAUAUAAAUCAAUUUAAAACAAGUGAGAAAGCCAUUGUAGAGUUCCUCGACUAUCAGAUACCCGAUACUCAGCUAGUGGGAAUGCCAACUCGAAAUUUCAUUAUUUUUCUGACUUAUCGAUACAUAUUGGUGAAAAUAAUGAGAAAAAAUUAAAAAACGUUUAUAAGAGAAAAAAUAUCAAAACAUUUUGUGCGGUUUGUGGGUGUUGGAGUGGUAAAAAGAUUUUUGGCAAAUCGAUAGAACUUUUAAAAACUAACACAAAAAUUAAAAAAUAUUUGUGGGAUUUGUGGGCGUUAAUAUAAUUUGCGAUAAACAUUUAUAAUAAUAGAACGCAGGAGUAUUUGUCUUUCAGCGGAACUAAUAUAUAAUUGAAUUUGAAAUUAUCAAAUAUGAGGGGUAGUUUGGCACAAAGUCAGCCGAGACACCGCGCUUACAAUAAAUAAUUGUGAUUUGGCAACAAUAUAAGCAGAAUCAUUCUAGCUGCGGCAAAGCUGUUCAUUUAAAACAUUAUAAUAGUUUUAUUACUGGCUAAAAACACGAAAUAAAUUUCGGAAUUUAUAACUU